UACGAAGGGGGCUAGCGUUGCUCGGAAUCACUGGGCGUAAAGCGCACGUAGGCGGAUUGCUAAGUCAGGGGUGAAAUCCUGGAGCUCAACUCCAGAACUGCCUUUGAUACUGGCGAUCUCGAGUCCGGGAGAGGUGAGUGGAACUGCGAGUGUAGAGGUGAAAUUCGUAGAUAUUCGCAAGAACACCAGUGGCGAAGGCGGCUCACUGGCCCGGUACUGACGCUGAGGUGCGAAAGCGUGGGGAGCAACGGG
rnacentral:rRNA from 1 species